CAUCUUUAGUUCCGGAACGCGUUCCUGUCCAAAAAGGAAGUACCGGAACGACGUUCCGGAGCGUUCCGGCUGGACAACACCACUGCGUACGAAUAUAUUUGUAUAAAUAUCUUCAUCAUUUGGUUAGCAUGAAGUCAGCAUUGACAUAUUUCAGUAAUUAGUUUAGGUAUCGCGAGACCAACACGGUGACAGUUGCAAUAGGUUUUUCAGGCAUCCUGAGACUAAAAUUUGACAACUGCAUUUCUGUAGAUUUGCAUUUGCAGUUGUCAUCUUAGUCAUUGACUUCGGUCAAUUGACAAUUGUUUUAGGGCUACAACCUUAGGUUUCACGACCUAAAACCGUAGUAGUCCUCCCUUGACCAGCAAUAGUCGAGGGAAUCUCAAUCAAAUCAGUACCAAUUUUCCAUCCUUUGUUGCUGACUUUACGCCAGCUUUGCACCCAGAGCUUUUAUUUUGGGUUUCAAAAGCCUAAAAUCAAAGCAGUCACUCCUUUUCAGGCAUCGCGGUACCAAAAUUGGCAAUUGUAUUUGUGUAGGUUUGCAUUUGCAGUUAUCAGUUUAGUCAUUGAUUGUCAAUUUUUUGUGGGCUACAACCUUAGGUUUUACGACCUAAAACCGUAGUUCAUUUUUAAUUUAAUUUGUACAAAAACUCUGUUUCAUUUUAACUCAACAAUGUAAAUGUUGUUUUUAUUUUUUAUUUAUUAAGGAGCCGAAACGUCAAAAAUUGACUAAAAUCCAAUAGGUUGUCUGCUUUACAAAACCCGGUCAUUAAGAAAACCAUGUGAUUUUAUACUCACAGCAAACGCUAAGAAAGAAGCAUAUUACUUCUUUUGUUAAUAGAAUGUCGAACCACCCGCUGUUUUGUUAGAAUUGUAUGUAUUACAAUAUUUCAGUUUAUCUAAAUGUUUUCUGAAAAAAUCAAAUUAGUAAAUUUAUUUGAAAUUAACUUUAGUAUUGUGUCAUGCUUAUUAUUUACUAAAGAGGCUAAAUUAAUUAUAUCUGAAUACUCAUAAGAUUUCAUUUCAUAGGAACGUUAAAAAACCUGGAUAGCAUUGCCUUGGUUGUGUCAGUGUUCAUUCGGUUCAGAAAGUAGCUGUCCUAACAAAAGUGCCUUUUCUCGAUUGGGAACGGAUGCAGUGUGGCAUUGCUGAAGGAAAGAUUUAUGACGAACGAACUGAUUGUCCAAGUGAGAAGAAAUUACAGCUAAUUCUGAUGGUACUGAAAGAGUCGAUGCUUUUAACGUCUUGCCCUUGCAACAUAAUUUUGAACCUGAGAGGGAGAGGCAUUUGAAAAUUACUUUGGAAACGACUGAAACAACAACUUGUCUGCAGUGGUAUUCCUUCUGGAUUUGGCUUGUUCAUUCUACCUGUGGACCUUAGGAAGCUACUUUCUGCAGUUAAUUAAGAUUGCCCAACAAAUGAGUUCAAUUUGGCGCUACUCGAACAACUGUCUACAUGGGUGUGGUCUUUUCUGGACUUUGUUCCUGAUUUGAUAUUUUCAUCUUCACUUCUCCACACUAUGCAGUUGAUUUUCAACUAAGGAUCUAUUUGAUUUCAAAUGGAACAACGAAAUUUCUGCUAUGGUGCUUCUCCUGGAUUUAGUUUGCUCUUCACACCUGCAAACUGUUGCAGUCUGCAGUUAAUUAAGAUCGACGUUGGAGAAGACAAAGACAAAGAUGACCCCAUAGUUGAAAUAAUAGUUCUUUUAUCUUGCAUG